GAUCAUGGCUCAGGACGAACGCUGGCGGCGUGCCUAACACAUGCAAGUCGAACGGGGUUACACGAGGUGCUUGCACCAUGUGGAACCUAGUGGCGGACGGGUGAGUAACGCGUGAGCAACCUGCCUUUCAGAGGGGGAGUAACAACGGGAAACCGUUGCUAAUACCGCAUAAUACCGGAUGAUGGCAUCAUUGACCGGUCAAAGGAGCAAUCCGCUGAAAGAUGGGCUCGCGUCCCAUUAGGUAG
rnacentral:rRNA from 1 species